GUUCUUGCUGAAACUUAAAAACAGGGUCAGCUCUGUUCUGGAAUCCACCGCUGACCGAUUUCUUUUGACCCUGUGCAAUAGCAACGUAUCUGGUCGCCUUCAGAGGCAAACAAAUAACUUCCAGGAGAUAGAAGAUGA
rnacentral:ribozyme from 1 species